GGGGAAUAUUGCACAAUGGGGGAAACCCUGAUGCAGCGACGCCGCGUGGAGGAAGAAGGUCUUCGGAUUGUAAACUCCUGUUGUUGAGGAAGAUAAUGACGGUACUCAACAAGGAAGUGACGGCUAACUACGUGCCAGCAGCCGCGGUAAAACGUAGGUCACAAGCGUUGUCCGGAAUUACUGGGUGUAAAGGGAGCGCAGGCGGGAAGACAAGUUGGAAGUGAAAUCCAUGGGCUCAACCCAUGAACUGCUUUCAAAACUGUUUUUCUUGAGUAGUGCAGAGGUAGGCGGAAUUCCCGGUGUAGCGGUGGAAUGCGUAGAUAUCGGGAGGAACACCAGUGGCGAAGGCGGCCUACUGGGCACCAACUGACGCUGAGGCUCGAAAGUGUGGGUAGCAAACAGGAUUAGAUACCCUGGUAGUCCCACACCGUAAACGAUGAUUACUAGGUGUUGGAGGAU
rnacentral:rRNA from 1 species